rnacentral:piRNA from 1 species
UAUUAUUUUUGUCGAACUUCU